AUGUAUUCUCAUUGGUCACCAUUAGGUCACAUGUGCCGUUUAUGUCAUUACACCCGGAAAAGUUAAUAUUUGUUUCUGGUUUGUCACUGGCUACGAUCACCAAAAAACAAAACAAAACCAAAAAACAAAGCGAAAAAAAAAGCCAUUUUCCAAACGCAGUUCAUCGUAAUAUUUAAUUAAUUAAUCGUUCUUAAACAACAUCUUUUAUUAAACAGCUUGGCAACGAUUGUCAACACAAUGGGUAACACUUGCUGCAAAUUUGCUCAAGAACACACUUUGGAGAAACAGACUUUGAUGCAAGACGCUGUGGCUAAUGAGCUCUCAUCAAGUCAAACUCAGAUCUCUGUCCAAUGUAAGGAGAACCCUGAGGGUCAAGACGGAAUAGUGCUGUUUGACACGGUGCAAGUCUUUCCCAUUGUCAACAUCCUUUGUCCUACCAGGGUAGAAGAUCUUCAUGAUGGUCAUAGCAAACAGCAGUAGAUCUCUCUCAUCGUAAUUGGCGUGGAGAGAGUAUAAAAUGCCAGGAGAGACAGAAGCAGUGGAGAGAGAGACGGACUGCUGACGUACCCCAGAACCGGAAGAAGUCACCUGGAAGUGUUAUGCGAUUGUGUCUGUGUUGAUGUCAGAGUAAGUCACCGUUGGUGUAAAGUUUAUUUUUGUGACUUGAAUUAAAAUACUUCAGCAGUCCAGCCGACCCCUUUGUCCUCUUCCUUUCCUCACACAAACUUACUACACUGGUGCCGAAACCCGGGAAAGGAAGAAGGAGUGCCGCCGCCAUGCAGAGUCCCAGGUGGCCGCACAACAGCUACUGGUGGUGAACCUCCUGGUCUUCGACGACCUGAAAAGGGCCAUCAUUCAGCGGGUCGGCCGGACCCCAGAGCAGCAUCGCCAGCGGUUCCGUUCCCUGGACCUGGGGG
rnacentral:lncRNA from 1 species